AUUCGUGAGCUUAGAAUUAUAAGGUUCUAUCUCCAUUUAGGGUAGUUCUGAGAUAUUGAGCAUCAAAGUUUUUACAUCCCAGCCGGCAAAACUGUUAUGUAGUAUUUUAUUUUAUUAAUAACUAACUAACAAAAUAUUUUUUUUACAAAAAUAACACCACACAGGCAUUAAUAAACACCUAAUGGAUCAGAUUAUGUCAAAAACUCAAUUUCGACCAAAAGUGGAGAUAGAACCUCAUAAUUCUAAGCUCACGAAUUGUAUUUUAUGCAUGUGUUCAUGGUCUGAGG